rnacentral:rRNA from 1 species
ACUCAAAUGAAUUGACGGGGGCCCGCACAAGCAGCGGAGCGUGUGGUUUAAUUCGAGGCUACACGAAGAACCUUACCUGGGUUUGACAUGUAUCUGAACAAGGCUGAAAGGCUGCGGUUCGCAAGACAGAUGCACAGGUGCUGCAUGGCUGUCGUCAGCUCGUGCCGUGAGGUGUUAGGUUAAGUCCUGUAACGAGCGCAACCCCCGGGUCCAGUUAUAUGUUGUCUGGACCGACUGCCCGUGACAAGCGGGAGGAAGGUGGGGACGACGUCAAGUCAGCAUGGCCUUUAUAUCCAGGGCUACACACACGCUACAAUGGUCGGUACAAUGGGUCGCCAAGCCGCAAGGCGGAGCCAAUCCAAUCAAAGCCGAUCACAGUUCGGAUUGUGGGCUGCAACCCGCCCACAUGAAGUCGGAGUUGCUAGUAACCGCGGGUCAGCUAUACCGCGGUGAAUACGUUCCCGGGCCUUGUACACACCGCCCGU